rnacentral:rRNA from 1 species
AUUGAACGCUGGCGGCAGGCCUAACACAUGCAAGUCGAGCGGAUGAAGGUAGCUUGCUCCUGGAUUCAGCGGCGGACGGGUGAGUAAUGCCUAGGAAUCUGCCUGGUAGUGGGGGAUAACGUCCGGAAACGGGCGCUAAUACCGCAUACGUCCUGAGGGAUAAAGUGGGGGAUCUUCGGACCUCACGCUAUCAGAUGAGCCUAGGUCGGAUUAGCUAGUUGGUGGGGUAAAGGCCUACCAAGGCGACGAUCCGUAACUGGUCUGAGAGGAUGAUCAGUCACACUGGAACUGAGACACGGUCCAGACUCCUACGGGAGGCAGCAGUGGGGAAUAUUGGACAAAGGGCGAAAGCCUGAUCCAGCCAUGCCGCGUGUGUGAAGAAGGUCUUCGGAUUGUAAAGCACGUUAAGUUGGGAGGAAGGGCAGUAAGUUAAUACCUUGCUGUUUUGACGGUACCAACAGAAUAAGCACCGGCUAACUUCGUG